rnacentral:rRNA from 1 species
GGGGAAUUCUGCACAAUGUUCGCAAGCCUGAUCUAGCAAUGCCGCGUGCAGGAUGAAGGCCCUCGGGUUGUAAACUGCUAUUUUACCGAACGAAAAGUCUCUCUCUAAUACACGGCGCCGCUGACGGUACCGCAAGAAUAAGCACCGGCUAACUACGAGCGAGCAGCCGCGGUAAUACGUAGGGUGCAAGCGUUAAUCGGAAUUACUGGGCGUAACGCGUGCGCAGGCGGUUUUGUAAGACAGUGGUGAAAUCCCCGGGCUCAACCUGGGAACUGCCAUUGUGACUGCAAGGCUGGAGUGCGGCAGAGGGGGAUGGAAUUCCGCGUGUAGCAGUGAAAUGCGUAGAUAUGCGGAGGAACACCGAUGGCGAAGGCAAUCCCCUGGGCCUGCACUGACGCUCAUGCACGAAAGCGUGGGGAGCAAACA